CAACUCUGUUUUGCUGAAUAGUUUUCAAGUAACUAUAGCACUGAGGGAAAGAACAACCUGACUAGAAAAUAAAGCAAGAUUGUUUUGCCAUAUUAAGGAUCAUUUGAUAACAAUGACCAUGAAUUUAAUGUAGUGCUGACAUGCCUAGCUCUGAAAUUUGUGUUCUAUGAAUCAUAACUGUCUGUGUGUAGGCAGAGAAAAUUCAAGGAAGUUUAAAGAAGAGAUCAGAAUGACCAGUGAAGAAUGGCUAUUGACAUGAUGAAGGACAAAACAAUCUCUGGAAAUUGAAUGCACUAAUUUGCAAAGUGGAAGCUGAGAACAUCCAUCUGCCCAUUGGUGAAUGAGCAGAGAAAACCUUGUAUCUAUAAAGCCAGAGCGUUCUCGUACAGAGAUGACCAGAGGAGGGAGAUAUAGUGGGCAGCAGCUCUGUGUGGUACAAGGAGCUCUGGUUUGGACCACUGGAUAGGGUAUGAAUCCCAAUCUUGGUACCUCUCAGUGGGGCAACCUCAGGCAAGUUUAAUACUUCUGAAACUCAUUUUCUCUUGUAAAAUAAAGAAAUUAGAAUCUAAUAGGAUGAGCUGUUC
rnacentral:lncRNA from 1 species